CUUCAGGAGCUCAUAACCUCCUAAGAUGUAAAUGAUACAGAUGUCAUCACUAACGUGAGGGAGAGCUCAGCUCAGCGGAACCCAGCGUAUGAGACAACAGGAAACUACAUCACAGAGCACGAGGGCACCGUGUCCCCCCACAACAGUGGGUCGGCGAUGGACAACGCGGUGCAGACUGAGGGGUCAGUGCGUGCUUCAUGGAAGAGGUCGCUCUCGAGCCAGACAGCGGAUUUAAAGCUGAGCUGAACCUCAUGCUGGCUGGGUUUCCUUUGGGCCUGACUCUAGAACUUCCAAUCAGAAUCUUUGGGGUAGUCCAGAAGUGCACGUUUUUAAUGAGUUCUCCUCCACGUAAAGUUCACAUCAGUCCUGAAGAGAUUCUGCAGCCAUAAAGGUGGAUGUUUCCAUGAGUGUUCGGGACACCAACUCAUCCUCAUUAGACAUUAGAUCCAUGCUGGGAAUCCUCAGGCCAGCAAUUUGAACAAGCUCCAGAUCCACCGAAGCUGCAGUCAGAAGAACAAGACACAGAUAAGGGGUGACAAGAACAAGAAAGCUUCUGAGAGUGCAGGUUUUUUUUCAUCCAAUUCAAUGCUCUGGAGAAAAUUAAUCAGGCCAAUCAAUCACAGGUGGACUCUUUCUUCACUAAUUGCAUCCUGACUCAAAGUCCUUUCUCCUGAAAUGUCUUUCCGUUUUCUACUUGCCUUCAAGUUUUCAUCUUUAGCAUUGAUUUUCAGAAUUCAAAUAUAAUUUGUUUAGCUUAAAAACAAAAAAUGAAAACCCGUUGUUCUUCUCUGAGGUUUCUGGAUUAAUAGUUUGAUUCUUUUUGGAAAAUUCUCAGUUAUUCCUUCUUUGAAUAAUUUUUCCCCUCCAUGUUUUUUCCUUCUUCUUUUGGGUUUCCCAUUAUAUGAAUAUCAGACUGAAAUCACCCCACAGGAUAUGAAAAGUAGGUUCUAUGUCUUCAUUCUCUUUUCUAUCUGUGGUUCAGUUUUGGUAAAUUUUACUUCAACUAGACAAACUACUUUAAAUUCCUUUUAAUCAUUAUUUUAAACAUUUAGUAUUUAUAUUUUAUUUAGACAAACCAUAUUCAAACUACUGAAAAUCAAAGAUAAAGAUAAAAACUUGAAGUCAGGUGAUGGUGAUGCAAAUUUAAUAUCUCACUUGGAUGUGGCUACUAAUAUCAAAAGAACCACCUUUAGCCUCUUCACUCUUGUUACUUGAUCAGCUGGAUUUCUAGCUCUCUCUAGUAAUAAUAUAUAUUGUAA